GAACAUGUAUUCAAAAAGAGCAAAAUAGAGGUUGGGUGGGGUAGAAAAAUGCGUAAGAUUAAAAAGUCGACGGAACCAAAAUCCCGAAAGUCAAACUACCGAGAGUUAAAAACGUAGAAAGACCAUAAAUACGAAAAGAUGACUUGUAGAAA